rnacentral:misc_RNA from 1 species
CCGAGUGAGGGCCCCUGGGCUCGAUCUCCCACCCUUUGACAAACGUCCGGUUUGCCUCGGGGGUGACCCGGAUGUCAAAACGUCCGGGUGACCCCCGGAGGGAUACCUACUCUGCAUUUUGGCGUCGGAGUCAAACAGUAAAUGAAUAA